rnacentral:tRNA from 1 species
GUAGAUAUAUUUAAUAGGUAUUAAUAAAUGUUCAGCCAGACAUUAGGAAAUAGUUCGAUUCUCUUUAUCUACA